AGGACGAACGCUGGCGGCGUGCUUAACACAUGCAGGUCGAGCGAGGCCCCUCCUUCGGGAGGGUGUCCUAGCGGCGAACGGGUGAGUAACACGUGGGCAACCUGCCCUCAGCUCUGGGAUAACCCCGGGAAACCGGGGCUAAUACCGGAUACGACCUCCACGGGCAUCUGCGGAGGUGGAAAGGUUUUCCGGCUGAGGAUGGGCCCGCGGCCUAUCAGCUAGUUGGUGGGGUGAUGGCCCACCAAGGCGACGACGGGUA
rnacentral:rRNA from 1 species